UACGUAGGGCGCAAGCGUUGUCCGGAAUUAUUGGGCGUAAAGAGCUCGUAGGCGGCUUGUCACGUCGGAUGUGAAAGCCCGGGGCUUAACUCCGGGUCUGCAUUCGAUACGGGCUGGCUAGAGUGUGGUAGGGGAGAUCGGAAUUCCUGGUGUAGCGGUGAAAUGCGCAGAGAUCAGGAGGAACACCGGUGGCGAAGGCGGAUCUCUGGGCCAUGACUGACGCUGAGGAGCGAAAGCGUGGGGAGCGAACAGG
rnacentral:rRNA from 1 species